GAUGAACGCUGGCGGCGUGCCUAAUACAUGCAAGUCGAGCGAACAGACGAGGAGCUUGCUUCUCUGACGUUAGCGGCGGACGGGUGAGUAACACGUGGAUAACCUUCCUAUAAGACUGGGAUAACUUCGGGAAACCGUAGCUAAUACCGGAUAACAUGUUGAACCGCAUGGUUCAAAAGUGAAAGACGGUCUUGCUGUCACUUAUAGAUGGAUCCGCGCCGCAUUAGCUAGUUGGUAAGGUAACGGCUUACCAAGGCAACGAUGCGUAGCCGACCUGAGAGGGUGAUCGGCCACACUGGAACUGAGACACGGUCCAGACUCCUACGGGAGGCAGCAGUAGGGAAUCUUCCGCAAUGGGCGAAAGCCUGACGGAGCAACGCCGCGUGAGUGAUGAAGGUCUUCGGAUCGUAAAACUCUGUUAUUAGGGAAGAACAAAUGUGUAAGUAACUAUGCACGUCUUGACGGUACCUAAUCAGAAAGCCACGGCUAACUACGUG
rnacentral:rRNA from 1 species